CCUCUCAUGGCGUAGUUGUAACGCGCCCCAACUAGAGAUCGGGGAGUCGUGAGUUCGAUUCUCACUGAGAAGA
rfam:Aedes aegypti strain Liverpool supercont1.193 genomic scaffold, whole genome shotgun sequence.